UAGAGCUCACGUAGAAAAGGAUGCACUCUGUUUCGUGUCUGUGCGUUCUCUCUCGCACAGGUUAGUAACUGCUUCCCUUAUCCCCUCUUUUCGCGUGUGCGAGAGAGAACGCACAGACACGAAACAGAGUGCAUCCUUUUCUACGUGAGCUCUACCCCCACUCCGCCAACCAGCAGUCUAGAUAUACUAUGUCUAUGGUGGAGACCCAAAGUUUGCAUCUCUAGGUUCGCGUCGUAUGCCCCACGCUUCACUUUGCCCCAACGGCCAAUACCGUCGUUUCAUUUACGAUGAAAGUAACGGUAUUGGUCGUUGGGGCAAACAGAAGCACAUUGGAUUGGGGCAUGCGUUGCGCGACGCGAAGAGUUUUUCUGCUCGGCGCUUCGGUAUCAUCGCAUGUAAUAUUUUCUAACUGUCGUUUAAGUUUCACACCCGAUUAGUAAGAUAUAGAAAUCAUUUCUGAAAUAGUAUUUUGGAUGUUCGGCUUCGUCAAAUCAUUAACCGUGGCCUAUUACGUACUGUACUGCCUCUGUUCUGAUAAUUCCAAUAAGAGGUUAAGUUCGUUCAAGUCGUAAGAACGACGUUCGAUAAUGAAGAGUUCAGUUAAGUCGUAAGAAUGUUCCAGUAAGAAGAUUAGCACGGAACUCGAAUACACACAAGCUCGCGUCUUAAGAAGCAGAGAAAAAUGAAUAUUGAGUACAAGUUCGAGAAGGAAAUCGACUGCAAGCAAGGGGCCGUCAGAUCUGUACGAUUCAGUGUGGACGGUGCGUACUGCAUAACAUGCGGCUCGGACAGGAAGCUGAAGCUAUGGAAUCCGUACAAGCCUGUUACGUUAAAAACAUAUGGCGGACACGGUGACGAGGUGAUGGACGCCUGCGCGUCCUGCGACAGCAGCCAGUUGGUGUCUUGCGGAUUGGACAAGUCUGUGAUUAUCUGGGACGUGGCAACGGGCACGCCUGUGCGUCGCUUCAGAGGCCAUGCAGGGCCGGUCACGACAGUCAGAUUUAACGAAGAAUCGUCAAUGAUCGUUUCUGGAUCGCGCGAUAACAGCGUGAUGUGUUGGGACGGACGUUCCAAGGCGCAGGAAGCGGUGACGACCCUGAACGAAGCCAAGGACGCAAUUUCGAGCGUGAGGGUUUCGGAUCAUGAAAUCUUGUCCGGCUCUUUCGACGGCAAAGUGCGCACGUACGACAUACGGCAGGGUGAACUUUGUGCGGAUACUAUGGGGGAUGCAAUCACGUGCGCCAGUUUCACCAGGGACGGGCAGUGCCUAGUCGUUAGUUGCGCGGGCGACGUGAUCAGAUUGAUCGACAAGGACUCGUCCGAGCUGCUCGGCGAGUUCACGGGGCACACCGGCGACGAUCUGUGCCUGGAAUCGAGCGUGGACUGUCAGGACACGAAGAUCCUCUCCGGCUCGGCGGACGGGAAGUUGUGGAUUUGGGAUCUCGUAACUCAGAAAGUGACCGCGAAGCUUUCAGGUUUCAAGCCGACCAAGCAUCCGACUGUAUCUAUAAGCGUUCAUCCGCAGAAGAACUGCUUUUUGGCUUCUAACGGAUCUAAUGUAUUGAUGUGGAGCACACAGUCUCACGCGGAUAGCGAGUAGUGACGAAGCUCGUGUCACUAGGCUUACUUUCUGUUGCUGCACUGGUGAACUAGUGCGAUAAAUUUGAGUAAAGGACCGUCUACGUUGGAAGUAAGCAGUAAGAACACUGGUCGAACUGCGCUCUGGUUCGCCGAGAGCAAGCGUCAGAGCUGAAGUAGGAAUAAGAAAUGGAAAUGAUGCAUUUCUUUACCCCUACUCUUAGUUCAUCUAUUGUAGACGUUCCUUAAGACAAGUAUAUUUUUUCUCAUUCUAGCUUACUGCACUAGUUCACCAGUGCAGGAACGGAAAACAAACCUGUUGUUAUCCCCUCGUGCAUACCUUCAUGUACAAAGUAAAUUGAAGGUAGUCUUUAAUAGUUUAUAUAGGUUUUUUUUACCAAUUGAAUGUUUAUUGUGGACGUGUACUAUAUUUUUAAUAAAAAAAAUAGUUAUUUUUUCAGGUCGAACUAUUUAAUACAUAA